GGUUAAGCGACUAAGCGUACACGGUGGAUGCCCUGGCAGUCAGAGGCGAUGAAGGACGUGCUAAUCUGCGAAAAGCGCCGGCGAGGUGAUAUGAACCUUUGACCCGGCGAUGUCCGAAUGGGGAAACCCAGUGUGUUCCGACACACUAUCGUUAACUGAAUACAUAGGUUAACGAGGCGAACCGGGGGAACUGAAACAUCUAAGUACCCCGAGGAAAAGAAAUCAACCGAGAUUCCCCCAGUAGCGGCGAGCGAACGGGGAGCAGCCCAGAGUCUGAAUCAGCUUGUGUGUUAGUGGAAGCGUCUGGAAAGUCGCACGGUACAGGGUGACAGUCCCGUACACGAAAGCACACAGGUUGUGAACUCGAAGAGUAGGGCGGGACACGUGGUAUCCUGUCUGAAUAUGGGGGGACCAUCCUCCAAGGCUAAAUACUCCUGACUGACCGAUAGUGAACCAGUACCGUGAGGGAAAGGCGAAAAGAACCCCGGCGAGGGGAGUGAAAAAGAACCUGAAACCGUGUACGUACAAGCAGUGGGAGCACCUUCGUGGUGUGACUGCGUACCUUUUGUAUAAUGGGUCAGCGACUUAUAUUCUGUAGCAAGGUUAACCGUAUAGGGGAGCCGAAGGGAAACCGAGUCUUAACUGGGCGUUAAGUUGCAGGGUAUAGACCCGAAACCCGGUGAUCUAGCCAUGGGCAGGUUGAAGGUUGGGUAACACUAACUGGAGGACCGAACCGACUAAUGUUGAAAAAUUAGCGGAUGACUUGUGGCUGGGGGUGAAAGGCCAAUCAAACCGGGAGAUAGCUGGUUCUCCCCGAAAGCUAUUUAGGUAGCGCCUCGUGAACUCAUCUUCGGGGGUAGAGCACUGUUUCGGCUAGGGGGCCAUCCCGGCUUACCAACCCGAUGCAAACUACGAAUACCGAAGAAUGUUAUCACGGGAGACACACGGCGGGUGCUAACGUCCGUCGUGAAGAGGGAAACAACCCAGACCGCCAGCUAAGGUCCCAAAGUCAUGGUUAAGUGGGAAACGAUGUGGGAAGGCACAGACAGCCAGGAUGUUGGCUUAGAAGCAGCCAUCAUUUAAAGAAAGCGUAAUAGCUCACUGGUCGAGUCGGCCUGCGCGGAAGAUGUAACGGGGCUAAACCAUGCACCGAAGCUGCGGCAGCGACACUAUGUGUUGUUGGGUAGGGGAGCGUUCUGUAAGCCGUUGAAGGUGUGCUGUGAGGCAUGCUGGAGGUAUCAGAAGUGCGAAUGCUGACAUAAGUAACGAUAAAGCGGGUGAAAAGCCCGCUCGCCGGAAGACCAAGGGUUCCUGUCCAACGUUAAUCGGGGCAGGGUGAGUCGACCCCUAAGGCGAGGCCGAAAGGCGUAGUCGAUGGGAAACAGGUUAAUAUUCCUGUACUUGGUGUUACUGCGAAGGGGGGACGGAGAAGGCUAUGUUAGCCGGGCGACGGUUGUCCCGGUUUAAGCAUGUAGGCGGAGGUUCCAGGUAAAUCCGGUACCUUUUAACGCUGAGGUGUGAUGACGAGGCACUACGGUGCUGAAGUAACAAAUGCCCUGCUUCCAGGAAAAGCCUCUAAGCAUCAGGUAACAUCAAAUCGUACCCCAAACCGACACAGGUGGUCAGGUAGAGAAUACCAAGGCGCUUGAGAGAACUCGGGUGAAGGAACUAGGCAAAAUGGUGCCGUAACUUCGGGAGAAGGCACGCUGAUAUGUAGGUGAAGCCCCUGCGGGUGGAGCUGAAAUCAGUCGAAGAUACCAGCUGGCUGCAACUGUUUAUUAAAAACACAGCACUGUGCAAACACGAAAGUGGACGUAUACGGUGUGACGCCUGCCCGGUGCCGGAAGGUUAAUUGAUGGGGUUAGCGGCAACGCGAAGCUCUUGAUCGAAGCCCCGGUAAACGGCGGCCGUAACUAUAACGGUCCUAAGGUAGCGAAAUUCCUUGUCGGGUAAGUUCCGACCUGCACGAAUGGCGUAAUGAUGGCCAGGCUGUCUCCACCCGAGACUCAGUGAAAUUGAACUCGCUGUGAAGAUGCAGUGUACCCGCGGCAAGACGGAAAGACCCCGUGAACCUUUACUAUAGCUUGACACUGAACACUGGUCCUUGAUGUGUAGGAUAGGUGGGAGGCUUUGAAGCGUGGACGCCAGUCUGCGUGGAGCCGUCCUUGAAAUACCACCCUUUAAUGGCUGGUGUUCUAACGUAGACCCGUAAUCCGGGUUGCGGACAGUGUCUGGUGGGUAGUUUGACUGGGGCGGUCUCCUCCCAAAGAGUAACGGAGGAGCACGAAGGUUAGCUAAUCCUGGUCGGACAUCAGGAGGUUAGUGCAAUGGCAUAAGCUAGCUUGACUGCGAGAGUGACGGCUCGAGCAGGUGCGAAAGCAGGUCAUAGUGAUCCGGUGGUUCUGAAUGGAAGGGCCAUCGCUCAACGGAUAAAAGGUACUCCGGGGAUAACAGGCUGAUACCGCCCAAGAGUUCAUAUCGACGGCGGUGUUUGGCACCUCGAUGUCGGCUCAUCACAUCCUGGGGCUGAAGUAGGUCCCAAGGGUAUGGCUGUUCGCCAUUUAAAGUGGUACGCGAGCUGGGUUUAGAACGUCGUGAGACAGUUCGGUCCCUAUCUGCCGUGGGCGCUGGAGAAUUGAGGGGGGCUGCUCCUAGUACGAGAGGACCGGAGUGGACGCAUCACUGGUGUUCGGGUUGUCAUGCCAAUGGCACUGCCCGGUAGCUAAAUGCGGAAAAGAUAAGUGCUGAAAGCAUCUAAGCACGAAACUUGCCCCGAGAUGAGUUCUCCCUGAGACUUUAAGUCUCCUGAAGGAACGUUGAAGACGACGACGUUGAUAGGUCGGGUGUGUAAGCGCAGCGAUGCGUUGAGCUAACCGAUACUAAUGAACCGUGAGGCUUAACCUU
rnacentral:rRNA from 1 species